GAGAGAGAGAGAGGGGAAGGGAUGGGAAAGAUAAAAUUUAAUGCCAGUAGUUUCGAUAAAUAAAAUAAAAAAGAAUGGGUGAAAAUGAGGGGUGGACAGAUUUAUUUCACGACUAUAUAGUUAGGACAAAGAAAAAUAUAGUUAAGUGAAGUGUGAACGAAGAGCAAAAAUAAAUAAAUAAGUUAAGUGUGAAUGAAGACCAGAAAAAAAAGUAAUUAACGAAAGGAAAACGAGAAAUGUAAUAAAGAAAAUUGUAGAAAAGGAAACGAAUGAAAAGGAGGAAAAGAGGGAAUGAAAAAUAAGGUAAAAUAUAUGAAGAGAAAACGUGAUGAUAAAGAAAAAAAUAUAGAAAAAAUAAAGUGAAUGAUGGAAUGAAGAAAAAAUGAAUGAUAAAGAAAAAAAAGUGAUAGAUAAAUAAAUAAAUAAAUAAGUGUCAGAUUAGUGAAAAAGAAAACAAGGGAAUGCUUAAAAAAUAUGAAUGCUUAAAAAAAAUUGACGAUUCAGAAAAUAAUAAAUAAAAAAAAUGAAAAUAUAAAAAGAAUGAAGUGAAGGAACAGGAAAAACAUAGACAGUGAAUAGGAAAAAAUGUGAAAAAAUGAAAAUAUGAAAAUGAAGUGAAGGAGCAAGAAAAAAAUAGACAGUGAAUAGGAAAAAAUGUGAAAAAAUGAAAAUAUGAAAAUAAUGAAGUGAGGAACAGGAAAAAAAUAGGUGAAUAGGAAAAAAUGUGAAAAAAAUGAAAAUAUGAAAAUAAUGAAAUGAGAGAACAGGAAAACAUAGAAGCGACCAGGAAAGAAAAAAAAAAGUGUUAGCUCAGUGAAGGAAAACAGGCGAACAAAAGCAAGUUGAAGUGUGAUACAGAAAGGUCUUGGGUAUCGAAUAUUGUGUCUUUCAUGAGGCGAAGAAAAAGAAAGAUAAAAUGAUACAAGAGUGAGAGCGAGUUAGUGAGAAGGAGACUUAGUGGUUAAUGAAAGAAAAAGUGAUUAUAAAAGUGAGUGGGAGAGUAAGCGAGUUAGUUUGUGGUUAAUGAAAGAGAAAAUGAUAUGAAAGUGAGCGGGAGAGUAAGCGAGUUAGUUUGUGGUUAAUGAAAGAGAAAAUGAUAUGAAAGUGAGCGGGAGAGUAAGCGAGUUAGUUUGUGGUUAAUGAAAGAAAAAGUGAUUAUGAAAGUGAAUGGGAGAGGAAGCGAGUUUUGUUGUUAAUGAAAGAAAAAAAUAAGGAAAAAAAACAAAAGGAAAUUAAUGAUGUGAAAGCGUAAAGGAAUAAAUACUAAAUCUUCUUAAUGGCUUUUGUUACUGAAGUCAUUAUUAUUAUUUUGUUAUUACUAUUAUUGCUGUUUUUAUUAAUGAAUGUUACCUUACUCAUUAUUAUUAUUUUUAUUCCACCCCCAGAAAAAAGUAAACAGGAUGGAAGGAAAAGAGAAAAUGGUCCUUAAAGUUCCCAUCGCCACAGUAAAAAGAAAAAUAUACAGAAAAGAGGGAAGAAGGAAAAGGAAAAGAAGAGAAGAAAGUGGAAUACAGAAAUGAGUGAGGGAGAAAAUGGCAAAACAACCUCAUUGAAUAUGAUAAAAUUAGUGAAAGAAAAUGAAAAUAUGAAAAUAUUGAAGUGAGUGAAGAGGAAAAAAAGGAAAAUGAAUAUGAAAAAGUGAGAAUGAAAAUGAGAAAAAUGAAGUAAGUAAACAGGGAAAAAGAGAAAGUGUAUAUGAAAAAAGUGAAAGAAAAUGAAAAUAUGAAAAGAAUGAAGUGAGUGAAGAGGAAAAAAAUAGAAAGUAAAUAUGGGAAAAGUGAAAAUGAAAAUAUGAAAAUGGAGGGAAGAGGAAAAAAGGGAAAGUGAACAUGAAAAAAGUGAAUAAAAAUGAAAAUAUGAAAAGAAUGAAGUGAGUGAAGAGGAAAAUAAUAUAAAGGAAACUGAAGGAAAAGACAAAAGGAUUACCGAAGACAAAGAAAAGGAUAUACAGCAGCAACAACAAUGAACACAAACACACACACACACACACACACACACACACACACACACACACACGAACAAACAGACACACGUGAGCCAAUAAAGAGAUAAGCACCAGAUGGAUGAAGAGACACACCUGACGUCAGCACCAGGUAUCCAGUCAGUCCCAGAACUCGCCAACUGAUUAAAAAAAGAAAUUAAAGGAAAAGAAGAAAAACAGCCAAGACAAGUCCACCUGUGUCCCAAACCAACCCCAGAAAAUACAGGGUCUUGUCGCCGGCCAGUGUCGCCUCUUCCUGUUUCUCAAGUUCUCGUGUGACCAAGAAUACCUUCGGGGAGAGGCGAGGCGAGGCGGACGAGGCGGAGUUAAAGAGGCGCUGGAGUCUGUUUGUUUUCCUUGCUUUACGAUCGAAACACACUCGUUGAAAGUGGAUAGCGCUCUGCCUUCCUUCAGCGUGUGGCUGUGAGGCGACCACGUCCUCAACAUGACCCCUUCCCCCCGGGCCCCCUCGAGACAACCAUUACGACAAGCUGCCAGACCAGCAGCCAGCCAGCCUGGGCCCCAAGGCUCCAAGACAGUUGCUGCCACACAACCCAGGUAUUGCAUUGGAUUGAAAAAUAUAUAUUUUACAAAUUUAUUGUUCAACAGUAUAAUGUCAAGCAACAGUUUCGUACAGAGGAGGCUAGUAGGUAGAAUUUUGAUGCAGUGUUUUGUUUGUUCUGAUUGAGACUCGAGUGUUAGUGUUACAAAGCCUACCAGGACACAUAACCUUGUUGAGGUGCUCCUGAACACACGACAACAUGAACACCGCCCGCGCCGCCCUGGCGGGCGCGGGCGCGACACUCGUACACACGUACAUAGAGACUCACAGCGGCACAGCGACUCUCACACCGCCAACACAAACCUCCACACAUGAACAGAUGUAACGUUAACGCAAAGAAUGUAACUUACCUUAACAUUUACUUCUUCCAUAUAACUGUAUGAAAAUACCUUUUAUAACUGGAUAUAAUCUCUGAUGAAAAUACUAUAAACUGAAAUGUGAACACACUUUGCAGAACAAUGUUACACAUGGGAAGGAGAACAAAUGGAUGCUACAAAUUACUACAGGCAGCAGAACACAUGGAGAAACAAACCCUACCGGUCACUCAAUAAAGUAUGUCUGCUGAGAAAAGGGAGUCUCUCAUUCACCUCCUACAAACAUGGAACAAAACUUCUUAGGAGGUAACUUGAUAUAAUCACUCUCUGAAAAGUCAAACCUCAUCUGCAUAUCAUGUGGCAACAAAUGUGUGGAUGGCGGCAAGCAUCCACUGCUCACGGCAUUAGAAUCAGAGGGUAUAACAACAAUAAUAAUAAUGAUAAUAAUAGUAAUAAUAAUAAUGAUAAUAAUAUAGUAAUAGUAAUAGUAAUAAAAAGCAAUCAUGGGACAAAUCAUCACCUCAAUAUAACUGUUACCGAGAACCAUGCGCGUCGUAUAAAACUCAUCUGACCCUUACGAGUGCAUUGUAUAUACAAGUGCAAGCAGGUGUGCAAUGCUGAAUGGGCAGACGUUUGAACUUCUGAUUCCAGGGACACCGCCGCUGGAACAACUGCACUCCAGACCCACCACACCAAACACAAACAGUAACAGGACACCCGGCACCACACAACUGCUCCAGGAACACACACUCCGGCCCUGCCACCCUACACGUCACACAAACAAUAGGACAUCCUACUCCACACAUUUGGCCCUGCACCAGACACUCAACCCUGGCGCCCUAUAAGCUAUACAUAGGAGAGGCAAAGGGCGGUAGGAUCAGUAACACACAUUUGCCCCAACAAGACACACUCAAGCCCUGACACACAGCAGAUCACACAGCAGAGGCGAAGGGCAGGUCAACAUACACAUUUGCCCCAACAAGACACACUCAAGCCCUGGCACACAGCAGAUCACACAGCAGAGGCGAAGGGCGGGUCAACAUACACAUUUGCCCCAAGAAACACAAGCCUCACUCCCUACCACACACGAGGAAAGGAAAUGUCAAUAUUGUAUCCAGCGUCACACAUCUGCCCCCACCACGGACUCCCACAACAGUCCUGCCACUCUACAAUUUCAACAUGAGGGAAGCAAAUGGUGACGGGACAUCCAAUAUUGCACAUUUGCCGUCCCCAUAGAACAACUCCACACAGUCAUACACAAGGAAAGCAUAUGGUAAUGGGGUGACUAUUAAACAUUUACCCCAACACCACACACACACAUACACACACACACAUCUAGCCACCCCCUUGCAGAUCACACAUUAGGGACGUAAAGUACAUCAGGCAAUUUUACAUCACACAUUUCCCUCAACCACAAACACACAAGGAAACCACAUGGCAGUAAGAUGUCCUAUCAUACACAUUUGCCCUCAUCACACACACACCCCAGCACGUCAGACACAAGGGAGGCAAAUGGCAAUGGGACAUCCUGCACCACACACCAGCAUCAGCCAGGCACACUCCAGCCCUCCAGCCCUAGCACCUUGAGCAGCCUUGGGCACUGGGCCAGUCUCAGCGCCUCAGAGAGUCGUCUUGGCCUCCCAGCACACACACACACAUGUUCCCGGCCAACCAGCGGCUCCUGUGAUACAAGUGAGGAAGCAAGACCAGUGCUAACCAGCAGAGAGGAAGCAGGUGAUGCACUUCUUACGCACACAGGGAGGAGCGCUUGACAAGCAAGCAACAACAACAACGUUACAAAAAUGGUUCCAGAUACGCAGCAAACAAGGUCUGUGGUCCACCAGUUGGCAUCUUGGUGCAUUACUUAAGGUCACACCAGCUUGCAGGAAGGUGUGGGGCUACACGGUACACACAAGUGGCAAAGCAAAGAAAAACUCAAAGGGAUCUAUGUAGAAGAAACUAAGUCUCUUCAAAUACCCACCAGAGAAACAAACCUAAACCAUCACUCAUAUGUUACAAAGCAAAAGCAAUCUAAAACCUCUCCCAACAAAGUCUAGUAUAAACCAGCACUAGGACAGCAGCUGGCAUGUAAAGGGAAACCAAAGCUAACCAAACCUUCUGAAGAAU